ACGGAACCCUAAUGGCGAUGGCAU
rnacentral:miRNA from 1 species